rnacentral:rRNA from 2 species
CCCCGGUAAACGGCGGCCGUAACUAUAACGGUCCUAAGGUAGCGAAAUUCCUUGUCGGGUAAGUUCCGACCUGCACGAAUGGCGUAAUGAUGGCCAGGCUGUCUCCACCCGAGACUCAGUGAAAUUGAACUCGCUGUGAAGAUGCAGUGUACCCGCGGCAAGACGGAAAGACCCCGUGAACCUUUACUAUAGCUUGACACUGAACAUUGAGCCUUGAUGUGUAGGAUAGGUGGGAGGCUUUGAAGUGUGGACGCCAGUCUGCAUGGAGCCGACCUUGAAAUACCACCCUUUAAUGUUUGAUGUUCUAACGUGGACCCGUAAUCCGGGUUGCGGACAGUGUCUGGUGGGUAGUUUGACUGGGGCGGUCUCCUCCUAAAGAGUAACGGAGGAGCACGAAGGUUGGCUAAUCCUGGUCGGACAUCAGGAGGUUAGUGCAAUGGCAUAAGCCAGCUUGACUGCGAGCGUGACGGCGCGAGCAGGUGCGAAAGCAGGU